rnacentral:tRNA from 1 species
UCCCUGGUAGCUCAGAUGGUAAAGCAUCUGCCUACAAUGCGGGAGACCCAGGUUCGAUACCUGGGUCGGGAA